UUCGUAUGCGUACGUCAGUUUAUUUCUGACUUUAAAAAUUUUACUUUGGCGGUUUCCAAAAUGGUAAAGUUAACGAAACAAAAAAAAAUAUAAUUCUGUGCAAUGUUGGGUUUGAUGAUAGAACACAGACCCCAAGAGAAGCAUCUCAAUUAUUUCAUGAAAUCCAUGAUCGUCCUGUAAUAUCCUAUAUAGCUGAUGCAGACUCUUUUGAGGCAAAACUGAUUUUGCAGCCAGAUGAUGCUCCUCCUACACGUAAAUUUUUGGAUGAAACCUUACCAAUUCGCGAAUAGGAAGAAAGGGUCUUAUUAAAUGCCCUCCUACAUAGCCAGACCUAACUAUAAGCAUUUAGACUCACUGUACCUAUGUCUAAUUUCUCGCCAUUUUGUGUCCACAUCCUUAAUAAUAUUCAAAUAAAAAUUUUAAUAAACUU